rnacentral:rRNA from 1 species
AAUACGUUCCCGGACCUUGCACACACCGCCCGUCAAGCCAUGGAAGCUGGGUGUACCUAAAGUCGAUAACCGCAAGGAGUCGCCUAGGGUAAAACUAGUAACUGGGCU